rnacentral:rRNA from 1 species
UUGGACCUCAGAUCAGGCAAGACCACCCGCUGAGUUUAAGCAUAUCACUAAGCGGAGGAAAAGAAACUAACAAGGAU